AUACCUUCUCGGCCUUUUGGCUAAGAUCAAGUGUAGUAUCUGUUCUUAUUAGUUUAAUAUCUGAUAUGUGGGCCAAUGGCCCACACGAUAUUAAAUUUAUUUCUUGAGGGGAAGAGGCCACCACAGUAGCUUGCUAUUGGGUCUCUUACGUGUCGCUCUUGCGUUGCACUAUAGCAAUUGCUGGCGCACCCCA
rnacentral:snRNA from 7 species